CGCGGGAAGCUGACUGAAUCCUUCGGGAGGACGUGAGUGGAACGAGCGGCGGACGGGUGAGUAACACGUGGGCAACCUGCCUGUAAGACUGGGAUAACUCCGGGAAACCGGGGCUAAUACCGGAUAGUAUUUUGGUUCAUAGGAACCGAAGUGGAAAGGUGGCGCAAGCUACCACUUACAGAUGGGCCCGCGGUGCAUUAGCUAGUUGGUGAGGUAACGGCUCACCAAGGCAACGAUGCAUAGCCGACCUGAGAGGGUGAUCGGCCACACUGGGACUGAGACACGGCCCAGACUCCUACGGGAGGCAGCAGUAGGGAAUCUUCCGCAAUGGACGAAAGUCUGACGGAGCAACGCCGCGUGAACGAAGAAGGUUUUCGGAUCGUAAAGUUCUGUUGUUAGGGAAGAACAAGUACCGUUCGAAUAGGGCGGUACCUUGACGGUACCUAUCGAGGAAGCCCCGGCUAACUACGUGCCAGCAGCCGCGGUAAUACGUAGGGGGCAAGCGUUGUCCGGAAUUAUUGGGCGUAAAGCGCGCGUAGGCGGUUUCUUAAGUCUGAUGUGAAAUCUUGCGGCUCAACCGCAAGCGGUCAUUGGAAACUGGGGAACUUGAGUACAGAAGAGGAGAGCGGAAUUCCACGUGUAGCGGUGAAAUGCGUAGAGAUGUGGAGGAACACCAGUGGCGAAGGCGGCUCUCUGGUCUGUAACUGACGCUGAGGUGCGAAAGCGUGGGGAGCGAACAGGAUUAGAUACCCUGGUAGUCCACGCCGUAA
rnacentral:rRNA from 1 species